AGAACCAAGAGAUCCGUUGUUGAAAGUUUUAACUUGUUUUUUGUUUUCAAAUCAGAACUGUAAUCCGCUGUAAAAUUCAAGAGUUUGGUGCUGCCGGCGGGAGGGGCAUCGUCCUCUUUUCAGAGGGGCGCUGACCGACGCCGCCGAGGCAACAGAACAUAGGUAAGGUUCACAAUGGGUUUGGAGUAGUAACUCUGUAAUGAUCCCU
rnacentral:misc_RNA from 1 species